AUGCAGUCGAGCGGACAGAUGGGAGCUUGCUCCCUGAUGUUAGCGGCGGACGGGUGAGUAACACGUGGGUAACCUGCCUGUAAGACUGGGAUAACUCCGGGAAACCGGGGCUAAUACCGGAUGGUUGUUUGAACCGCAUGGUUCAAACAUAAAAGGUGGCUUCGGCUACCACUUACAGAUGGACCCGCGGCGCAUUAGCUAGUUGGUGAGGUAACGGCUCACCAAGGCAACGAUGCGUAGCCGACCUGAGAGGGUGAUCGGCCACACUGGGACUGAGACACGGCCCAGACUCCUACGGGAGGCAGCAGUAGGGAAUCUUCCGCAAUGGACGAAAGUCUGACGGAGCAACGCCGCGUGAGUGAUGAAGGUUUUCGGAUCGUAAAGCUCUGUUGUUAGGGAAGAACAAGUACCGUUCGAAUAGGGCGGUACCUUGACGGUACCUAACCAGAAAGCCACGGCUAACUACGUGCCAGCAGCCGCGGUAAUACGUAGGUGGCAAGCGUUGUCCGGAAUUAUUGGGCGUAAAGGGCUCGCAGGCGGUUUCUUAAGUCUGAUGUGAAAGCCCCCGGCUCAACCGGGGAGGGUCAUUGGAAACUGGGGAACUUGAGUGCAGAAGAGGAGAGUGGAAUUCCACGUGUAGCGGUGAAAUGCGUAGAGAUGUGGAGGAACACCAGUGGCGAAGGCGACUCUCUGGUCUGUAACUGACGCUGAGGAGCGAAAGCGUGGGGAGCGAACAGGAUUAGAUACCCUGGUAGUCCACGCCGUAAACGAUGAGUGCUAAGUGUUAGGGGGUUUCCGCCCCUUAGUGCUGCAGCU
rnacentral:rRNA from 1 species